rnacentral:rRNA from 1 species
UACGAAGGGGGCUAGCGUUACUCGGAAUCACUGGGCGUAAAGGGUGCGUAGGCGGGUUUUUAAGUCAGGGGUGAAAUCCUGGAGCUCAACUCCAGAACUGCCUUUGAUACUGAAGAUCUUGAGUUCGGGAGAGGUGGGUGGAACUGCGAGUGUAGAGGUGAAAUUCGUAGAUAUUCGCAAGAACACCAGUGGCGAAGGCGGCUCACUGGCCCGGUACUGACGCUGAGGUGCGAAAGCGUGGGGAGCAAACAGG